UGGCUUGCAGGCUGCAGAGGUUAGUUUCAUGAUAUAACUUACUGCAAAAAUUGCUUCAACAGCUCCAUCUUUUGAGAAAGGGCACGGACUUUGGAUUCAGGAAACCAGAUUAAAGCUCUUAGCCUAUCCAUGUUCCCCUAUCAUCUUACACUACUCCUUUUACGAAUGCAAUGUUUUUGUUUCUUUACCUGACAAUUUUCUUUCCUGAUAACAGUAAGUGAAGAUGAAACAGCACAGCUACGACAACAGAACCAAACAAGCAAAGAAUGUGGUAGUGUCCAAGUAAAUGGACAGGCAAGUCUGGAUUUGGCCCACUGGAAAUAAUUUUAUGAAGCUUCAUAAGCCAGCAUGGUACAAAUUCUCCAAGGAUUUUUCCUGCUAUCCCCAAGAAAGUAGUGAGAAGUAAUUCUGUUACCUGAGAGAAGAGAAAAAGAAGCUUUAGUACUAAUUCAAGCUGCUGCACUUACUUUAGUUGAGGCAAACUGCUCUACUGAAUUUCCUGGAAAGAGUUCGUUUUACUGUUUCCAAAGGAGACCUGAACCAUGCAGAAUCGUCUGUAGAACAGAAAAUGGUAAGCACUGUGCUUGUUUUGAUUCAAUCCAAAGUUAUGAAAUUAUGAACUCCAUUACAAAAAAAGAUAGAAAAAUCAUGUCAUAUGUACUAAAACAGAAAGACUCCUCUGAAACAGAAGGAAUACAGAAGAAACAAAAUAUGUGACAG
rnacentral:lncRNA from 1 species